rnacentral:rRNA from 1 species
AUUGAACGCUGGCGGCAGGCCUAACACAUGCAAGUCGAGCGGAUGAAGGGAGCUUGCUCCUGGAUUCAGCGGCGGACGGGUGAGUAAUGCCUAGGAAUCUGCCUGGUAGUGGGGGAUAACGUCCGGAAACGGGCGCUAAUACCGCAUACGUCCUGAGGCAGAAAGUGGGGGAUCUUCGGACCUCACGCUAUCAGAUGAGCCUAGGUCGGAUUAGCUAGUUGGUGGGGUAAAGGCCUACCAAGGCGACGAUUCGUAACUGGUCUGAGAGGAUGAUCAGUCACACUGGAACUGAGACACGGUCCAGAGUCCUACGGGAGGCAGCAGUGGGGAAUAUUGGACAAUGGGCGAAAGCCUGAUCCAGCCAUGCCGCGUGUGUGAAGAAGGUCUUCGGAUUGUAAAGCACUUUAAGUUGGGAGGAAGGGCAGUAAGUUAAUACCUUGCUGUUUUGACGUUACCAACAGAAUGAGCACCGGCUAACUUCGUG